AACGAACGCUGGCGGCAGGCUUAACACAUGCAAGUCGAACGCACCUUCGGGUGAGUGGCAGACGGGUGAGUAACGCGUGGGAAUCUACCCAUCCCUACGGAAUAACGCAUGGAAACGUGUGCUAAUACCGUAUACGCCCUUCGGGGGAAAGAUUUAUCGGGGAUGGAUGAGCCCGCGUUGGAUUAGCUAGUUGGUGGGGUAAAGGCCUACCAAGGCGACGAUCCAUAGCUGGUCUGAGAGGAUGAUCAGCCACACUGGGACUGAGACACGGCCCAGACUCCUACGGGAGGCAGCAGUGGGGAAUAUUGGACAAUGGGCGCAAGCCUGAUCCAGCCAUGCCGCGUGAGUGAUGAAGGCCCUAGGGUUGUAAAGCUCUUUCACCGGUGAAGAUAAUGACGGUAGCCGGAGAAGAAGCCCCCGGUAACUUCGUGCCAGC
rnacentral:rRNA from 1 species